UACAGAGGGGGCAAGCGUUAUUCGGAAUUAUUGGGCGUAAAGGGCGCGUAGGCGGCCUGGCAAGUGGAAGGUGAAAUCCCUCGGCUUAACCGAGGAACUGCCCUCCAAACUGCUUGGCUUGAGUCCGGGAGAGGUGAGUGGAAUUCCCAGUGUAGCGGUGAAAUGCGUAGAUAUUGGGAGGAACACCAGUGGCGAAGGCGGCUCACUGGACCGGAACUGACGCUGAGACGCGAAAGCGUGGGGAGCGAACAGG
rnacentral:rRNA from 1 species